UACACUCCUGCGGGAGGCAGCAGUGGGGAAUUUUGGACAAUGGGCGAAAGCCUGAUCCAGCAAUGCCGCGUGAGUGAAGAAGGCCUUCGGGUUGUAAAGCUCUUUUGUCAGGGAAGAAACGGUGAGAGCUAAUAUCUUUUGCUAAUGACGGUACCUGAAGAAUAAGCACCGGCUAACUACGUGCCAGCAGCCGCGGUAAUACGUAGGGUGCAAGCGUUAAUCGGAAUUACUGGGCGUAAAGCGUGCGCAGGCGGUUUUGUAAGUCUGAUGUGAAAUCCCCGGGCUCAACCUGGGAAUUGCAUUGGGGACUGCAAGGCUAGAAUCUGGCAGAGGGGGGUAGAAUUCCACGUGUAGCAGUGAAAUGCGUAGAUAUGUGGAGGAACACCGAUGGCGAAGGCAGCCCCCUGGGUCAAGAUUGACGCUCAUGCACGAAAGCGUGGGGAGCAAACAGGAUUAGAAACCCUAGUAGUCCCAU
rnacentral:rRNA from 1 species